rnacentral:rRNA from 1 species
GCUAUUCCGGAGAGGACGCCUGAGAGACGGCGACCACAUCCAAGGAAGGCAGCAGGCGCGCAAAUUACCCAAUCCUGAUACAGGGAGGUAGUGUCAAUAAAUAACAGUGGCGGGCCAAAACGGUCUGCCAACUGGAAUGAGUACAAUUUAAACCCCUUAACGAGGAGCAAUUGGAGGGCAAGUCUGGUGCCAGCAGCCGCGGUAAUUCCAGCUCCAAUAGCGUAUAUUAAUGCUGUUGCGGUUAAAAAGCUCGUAGUUGGAUUUUGGAGCUCGAACUCUUGGUCCGGUGUAAACCGCGUACCGAGAGUUGGGUUCUUCUGUCUGGAGGUCGGGCACAACCACUUGAUUGUGGUGUGAACGAUGUCUAGGACUUUUACUUUGAACAAAUUAGAGUGUUUAAAGCAGGCAUACGCCUUGAAUACAUUAGCAUGGAAUAACCACUUAGGACUUUGGUUCUAUUUUGUUGGUUUUAAGGACUAAAGUAAUGAUUAAUAGGGACGGUUGGGGCCUUUAGUAUUUAGUUGCCAGAGGUGAAAUUCUUAGACUUACGAAAGACUAACUUCUGCGAAAGCACUGGGCAAGCAUGUUUUCAUUAAUCAAGAACGAAAGUUAGGGGAUCGAAGAUGAUCAGAUACCGUCGUAGUCUUAACCAUAAGCUAUGCCAACUAGGGAUUGGAAGAUGUUAUUUUCAUGACUCUCUCAGCACCUUAUGAGAAAUCAAAGUCUCUGGGCUCCGGGGGGAGUAUGGUCGCAAGACUGAAACUUAAAGGAAUUGACGGAAGGGCACCACCAGGAGUGGAGCCUGCGGCUUAAUUUGACCCAACACGGGAAAACUCACCAGGUCCAGACGUAACAAGGAUUGACAGAUUGAGAGCUCUUUCUUGAUUUUACGGGUGGUGGUGCAUGGCCGUUCUUAGUUGGUGGAGUGAUUUGUCUGCUUAAUUGCGAUAACGAACGAGACCUUAACCUACUAAAUAGUUACACGAUCUUCAAGAUCGCGGCGAACUUCUUAGAGGGACUUUUGCGUGUUAAACCAAAGGAAGUUUGAGGCAAUAACAGGUCUGUGAUGCCCUUCGAUGUCCUGGGCCGCACGCGCGCUACACUGAUGCCAGCAACGAGUUUACACCCUAGACAGUGAUGUCCGGGUAAUCUUUGAAAUGGUAUCGUGACGGGGAUUGAUGAUUGUAAUUUUUCAUCAUAAACGAGGAAUUCCUAGUAAACGCGAGUCAACAGCUCGCAUUGAUUUCGUCCCUGCCCUUUGUACACACCGCCCGUCGCUCCUACCGAUUGAAUGGUCCGGUGAGGUUUCAGGACUGGCUCUUGUUAUUUGGCAACAAGUUCUUGAGCCGGAAAUGUGCCCAAAUCUUAUCAUUUAGAGGAAGGAGAAGUCGUAACAAGGUC